rnacentral:rRNA from 1 species
AUUGAACGCUGGCGGCAGGCCUAACACAUGCAAGUCGAACGAGUGGAGGCCGGGUGAGUAAUGUCUGGGAAACUGCCUGAUGGAGGGGGAUAACUAGUGGAAACGGUAGCUAAUACCGCAUACCAUCAGAUGUGCCCAGAUGGGAUUAGCUUGGUGGUGGGGUAACGGGUCACCAAGGCGACGCCCCCUAGCUGGUCUGAGAGGAUGACCGGCCACAAUGGAACUGAGACACGGUCCAGACUCCUACGGGAGGCAGCAGUGGGGAAUAUUGCACAAUGGGCGAAAGCCUGAUGCAGCCAUGCCGCGUGUAUGAAGAAGGCCUUAGGGUUGUAAAGUACUUUCAGCGGGGAGGCGUUACCCGCAGAAGAAGCACCGGCUAACUCCGUGCCAGCAGCCGCGGUAAUUC